UCGAUUAAGUCGGUGAAGCGGAGCGGUGCGGCUAAAACCAAUUCGGCUCCGAUCUGCGGAUCGAGCUAGACUUCUGGAGGUCGGUUUUGCCCUGUGCCGCUCCGAUUCACCGGCAUAGUGGACGGUAUAUCGGUCGGAAUUUACUGGCUUCGUGGAUGAAUCGGUUAUUUCCGUAGUAUUCGUAUACACGACAAUGCAUGCAAAAAUUUUUCAGUUUGUAGAGUGAUCAACAAGUUUGGUGUUCUGUAGUUCAAACAAAAAUGGACGUUGCAACGGAAGAAAAGUUGAUACUUUGUCUGCAAGAAUAUUUAAUUAGAGAAAAUUGCUGGAAGGAAAUCGAAGCGAAACUCAAAGAACAAGGUUCUGUGUGUAAAGCCAAAUGGAAAUUCUUAAGAGAAAGUUAUCGCAAAGCAAUAAAUGUCAGAAAAACGAACAGUGGAUAAGCUACGAAGAAAAUAAAACCAUGGCGUUUAGAAGUUCAGAUGGAAUUUAUUAAACCAUAUUUAUUUUCUCAAAGUGCCGACCAAAUUAGUAAUUUUUCACCCCCGCCUGAAUCUCCAGAAUCAGUUAGUUCUCCAAAUGAAUUACAAAUACCUGAAGCUUCAUCCAACAACGAGACCAGUCAAGAUUCAAUCGAAUCUCCCCAAUUAUUAUCUACAAGAAACAGCAGAGAUAAACAUCUAUCUUCUAGUAAACAAAUUCCCCCUGGAUCAGCUGCUGAGGUUUUGCGUCAUUAUAUGAAUAUGAAAAAUACGGCGACAGAAACGAAGUCAUCUGGAGACCACUUAAGUAAAUAUUUCCAAAGUAUUGAAGAAACUGUUCGUACUCUUCCACACAUCACACAAAUUAGAUUAAAAACACAAAUAUCCCAAUUAGUUCAUGCAGCUGAAUUAGAAGCCAUAAGUGGUCAUUGUUCUUCACAUAUUUCAAAUGGACCGCCAGAUCGACAUACAAUGACUUCUCAAACCAUAUAUUCUACCACAAAUCAGAAUGAGCUUUUAUCACGACCCAAUGUUAAUUUUCAAAAUUUAUCAGAAAGUUCACAUCAAAAUUUUUCCAGUCCUCCUCAAACUAAUUAUGCUCAGUAUAAUGAUAGUUAUAAUAUAAGUAAGUUCAAUGUAUAUUCAAAAUAAACCAAAAGAUUCAAGA